rnacentral:rRNA from 1 species
CCGGACAAGCGGUGGAGUAUGUGGUUUAAUUCGAUGCAACGCGAAGAACCUUACCAGGACUUGACAUGUCGCGAAUCCAGUGGAAACACAGGAGUGCCUUCGGGAGCGCGAACACAGGUGGUGCAUGGCCGUCGUCAGCUCGUGCCGCAAGGUGUUGGGUUAAGUCCCACAACGAGCGCAACCCUCGUGUUUAGUUGCCAUAGUAUGUUUGGCACUCUGAACAGACUAUCGGUGUUAAGCCGGAGGAAGGUGACGGAUGAUGUCAAGUCAUCAUGCCCCUUACGCCCUGGGCGACACACGUGCUACAAUGGUCGGGACAAAGGGUCGCGCUCCCGCGAGGGCAAGCUAACCUCAAAAACCUGGCCUCAAUUCGGAUUGCAGGCUGCAACUCGCCUUCAUGAAGUAGGAAUCGCUAGUAAUCGCCGGUCAGCCAUACGGCGGUGAAUUCGUUCUCGGGCCUUGUACACACCGCCCGUCACACUAGGGAAGUAAGCCAUGUUCGAAGUCAUUACCUUAACCACGUCGACGCGGCC